GGGGAGGAACCAUAGCUCAGUGGUAGAGUUUCUGCUUGGUAUGCAAAAGGUCCUGUGUUCAAUCCCCAGUGUCCCCG
rnacentral:tRNA from 1 species